rnacentral:rRNA from 1 species
ACGGAGGGUGCAAGCGUUGUUCGGAUUUACUGGGCGUAAAGCGCGCGCAGGCGGGUCAGCAAGUCAGAUGUGAAAUCCCAGGGCUCAACCCUGGAACUGCGUCUGAAACUGUUGGCCUAGAGUCUCAUAGGGGGUAGGGGAAUUUCACGUGUAGGGGUAAAAUCCGUAGAGAUGUGAAGGAACACCGGUGGCGAAGGCGCCUACCUGGAUGAGUACUGACGCUGAGGCGCGAAAGCGUGGGGAGCAAACAGG